CUGGUAUCUCAAACCACAGAAGUUAACUAACAUCAGCUAAAAUAGCACAGGACAGCCCCUGUGGCCAACAAAAAGAAUAGCUUAGUUUCUCCAGAACUCAGAAAUGUUCUAUUAUAUACAGUGUUACAGAGAACUAGGAGAUAUAGACAUUCAUGAAUAACUUCAGCUAUCAAGAGGAACGGGUGGUCUGUUUCAUGUUCCUAGACACAAUAUUCCUGCUCAGAUUUGAUGGGCGACAUAAGUAUCAGUAUGCCUGCAAUAGCAAGUCUACAGGAUCCGGCUUGUGGACCAGCAUAUAUGAAAUGGAGAUGCCUGAUGGAAGGACCUCUUCC